rnacentral:rRNA from 1 species
UACGGAGGGUGCAAGCGUUAAUUGGAAUUACUGGGCGUAAAGCGUGCGCAGGCGGUUCGGAAAGAAAGAUGUGAAAUCCCAGGGCUUAACCUUGGAACUGCAUUUUUAACUGCCGGGCUAGAGUAUGUCAGAGGGGGGUAGAAUUCCACGUGUAGCAGUGAAAUGCGUAGAGAUGUGGAGGAAUACCGAUGGCGAAGGCAGCCCCCUGGGAUAAUACUGACGCUCAUGCACGAAAGCGUGGGGAGCAAACAGG